CAGUAGCCGCGGUAAUACAGAGGGUGCAAGCGUUAAUCGGAAUUACUGGGCGUAAAGCGCGCGUAGGUGGUUUGUUAAGUUGGAUGUGAAAUCCCCGGGCUCAACCUGGGAACUGCAUCCAAAACUGGCAAGCUAGAGUAUGGUAGAGGGUGGUGGAAUUUCCUGUGUAGCGGUGAAAUGCGUAGAUAUAGGAAGGAACACCAGUGGCGAAGGCGACCACCUGGACUGAUACUGACACUGAGGUGCGAAAGCGUGGGGAGCAAACAGGAUUAGAUACCCGGGUAGUCCCUGUCUCUUAUAA
rnacentral:rRNA from 1 species